CCAGUAGAUGGCGCUCCACCCCUUCCUUAUUUUGCUUUACCUUGCUGCGUUGUCCCUUUAACAAACUGGCACACAGGUGGUAUUUCCGGAAGUGGUCAGGCGUCCUACUGGCAGAAAUAACAUUAAUUUAAAUGUCUUUUAACGCAGUUUGUACAAGACAAUCAUAAACACGCCAUGUUAAAAAUAUUUUCAACUGAUGUGAACCAGGAUUUGAAACAUUUUGAUGCAUUGUUUGCCAAAAGGGAACGCAAUCUUACUUCGGGAUGCUAGCGGCGGGUCCUACCAUGAGCAGAAGCAGAGCAUCUGCAGGAAGCCAUUUUGCAAGUAAAUGAGUUCUCCCCUGGUGAAAUACAGCAGUGGAACUGGGAUGCUGCUCAAGAGGUGCUGGCAGGCAGGAUUCAGACGGCUCCUCGUGACUUUGCAGACAUACUCAUGCACUGAGCUGCAGCUCUCACAGCCUCCUCACAGCCUCGUCACAUCAGUCACUGCCAACAGAAAGCCUCAAGACUGAUGACUCGGGGUUCUAAAGGCUGAAAAUAAAGAUGGAUGACCGGGCAGCGCCCAGGACGUGCAGCCACUACAAGUCGGUGGCUGGUAGCAGUAAAGGUAAUCUGUCAUUUUACGCUGAUUUGUGUGUAAGUGGUCAUUUUUCUGAUGCUUGUUUUUAAUAAGUUAUUUGAUUAUAUGAAGCAGCUGGUAUUUCAGCUGACUGACAACUUUGAUUGAUGGCUUGAUGCUGUGGCGCCACCUCUGAUCUCUACUGUGCAGAAUCUGGUUCCAAAAAGCAUCACAAAAUUAAUUCAUUACAAUAUUUUGGCUUCAUUUUUAUAUAGUGGCAGGAAGUGGUCAACUGAUCAAAUACCUUUUAUUUAAACACUUUAAACACAAUUUUCUGAAGGACACAGUCAUUAUCAGGACAGUUCAGUGCUGCCAGAGGUAGAAUUCCCCUUUUAAGGAUUACUUAUACUGUACAUUUGCUCUCCUUUAGUAGAGUCUUAGAUGCUAUGGUUUGUAAAAUUAGGGUUACAUUAAGUAAUUUAACUUAACGUCACCCAGCUGGGAUUUGCUCAUAAAGCCUCCAGCCUUUGAUUACAACAUUACAUUUCUGAAUCACCUUGGUUCAUGCACACUCAUAACCACUCAUCCACACACACUGACACAGAAAGACAGUUUCCCUUAAACUGAUACCAGAAUCAUCAGAAUGUUUGAACUCAAGCUGCAGCCUGUCAGCCGUGGGCCAUUCAUUACCACUAACAGGACCAGUUAAGUCAUAUAACUGUGUUUUGUGUUAGAAGCCAGCAGAGCAGCACCGUCACAGCUCUUUCUUUGCAUUUGUUCUUUGAAAUGUUGGUUGAAGAAGGGCUGUAAAACAGCUUGCAGCAGGUCACGCAACAGAUAAUUAGCUUAGUCACGGUGGCCGUGCUGCUGGUGGACUGUCAGCACUGAGAGGCACAAACUGAACGUAGCUUGAGGCCAGCAAGUUCUGGUUCCACAUGCUGACUUGUGAGAUGUGAAAAUCUCACAGAGAGUAGUCUCAGGACUAAAUCCUCUCCUUUUCUAGACAGUUUGUCUAAGUGUGGACUGAUAAUCCACACUGAAACAUAUGGAAUCUUUGAGAUUACAUUGCACCCCUUUCCAGCUUUUUGCAAAUCAUCAGUCAUCUGAGAUCUCUUUUUUUUAUGUGAGUGUAGGUUUAAUCUAGUUUCAUUAACUAUGUAGUAUUAACAUAGAUUGUGUUUGUUCAUAAUUGUAACUUGGAUGAAGGUCUGAGCAUAUCUACAGACAAAUUUAUACAUAAAUGCAGGGUUCACAAAUGUUUUUCUUGCUAUUUUAUGUCAUGAGCAGCAUGUCUUCUGGGAUUUUUCAUUGAGGAUAAACACCAUAAAACUCUAAAAAGUAUUUUGAGAAUCUUUUGAGCAAUGGUGUCCAUCUUGGUUUUAUUAGCUCCAUCUGGAAGCAAACAAGUCUCCAGAAAUAGAGACAGCGAAAAAGGAAGAACGAUGGCACCGGCAUAGACACGGACAUGAAUGCCAGAGAAUAUCUGCUCCUCACCACAUAAUCACUGCGAUUUAAAUACUGUCACAUUUCCAUGUAGCGGUUUGAGAGUGAAUGUGCCGUCAUGUCAACAGCCAAACUGCUGUUUAAUGGGGGAUGUGGUGUCACAGCUGAUGGGCUGUAAUGGAUGUAGUCAUUAUCUGUACAGAGAUGUUUUGGUCAGUGUAAACGGGCUCAGACGGACUUCUUAUGUUGGUCUACCACCACACAAAAACAAUAAAUGAAGAUGUGGCUAAACUCUCAUAGAACAAACUAAAUGCAUAAAAUAUGGAUCUGAAAAAUACCAACCACACAGUAGUGGUCUAGUUUUGUUUAGGUCUUUUAAUUAUGAUCCAUAAAAUGCUGGAGUGAAUUCUUUGAGAUCAAAAAGGUUCUAAGGAAAAUAAUUCUAAUGUAACCAUAGCAACAGUGUUCUUGAUUCAUUCAUCAUUUCCAGUUGACCCUCACUGGUGAGCCUGUCUUUAGUGGAAUAGAGUCAGCAUUAAACAUAGACAGAAUAUCCUAAUCACAUGUUCUUAGACCUGGAGGGAGGAGAGUUUCUAAGAAUGGAGCUGCUGCCCCCUAGUGUCACAUUUGGCUUUUACACUGAUGGAGAAGAUGGCCAACUCCCUAACAAGUCAUCAACAAGUUUCAGUGUGUAUUUAUUAUUUUAUUCUUUAUUGUCUGUGAUCCAUGCCCACAGAGCAGGGUUGGUGGGUCUGUUGCUCAGAAAAGCGCUGGGCAGAGCACCUGUCCAGGAUUCCCCCCCAAACCCAUCAGCUGAAACAAAAAAAGAGAGGAGAAAUAAAUAUAUAAAUAAAUAGCGGCUUAGAGGAUGUGCUGCCAUCCACUAGCCGCCAGUAGCUGCCCUGGUCUCUGCUGAAGCAGCUGCCCUUCAGCGGCCUGAAGCAGGAGCUCUGACAGCCUCAGCUCCGAGCUUCAGCAUGCACUGAAAACUUCAUCAGGGUGGUGACCAUGCAGCUCUGCAGAGAGCUGCCUGUGGCUGACACAGGACUAAAGAAUCUGUGGUUUACUGGAACAUCCAUCCUAUGAGAUGACACAGCCCUCAAAUGUUAUUUGUUGGAACUCAUGCAUUAAUGUUUGUUUCAAGACAUGUCAGUAUUACUAACAAGACAUGAGUCAGUUCUGUUGACCCUCCACACAGCCCUGUCAUGUGCUCAUGUUUGAACUCCUCUGCCGUGCCUCCCAUUGUUGUUAUAAAUUCCCAAAAGCUGCCUCACUGUUAUGGAAAGUGACACAUUAGUACAAGCUGCUUUUUCAAUCAAAACAAAUGCUUUAAAUGUCCCGGACCUCUGAGCUGUUUGGACCCAGCUUUAAGUUACCAUAGCUGUCUCAGGCUACUAUAGGUUAUAUAGAUCUGUUUGUGACAAUUAACUUCAGAUGACAGUGUGGGGUUUUUUCAGUAACUCCCACACCCUGCUGUUACUGUUCUGCAAUAUGCAAAGGACUUUUGCACAGCAGAUGAUUUUAGUAUGCAAUAGCAGGAAAAGCACAGGUGUAAUUAAAAACAUUCAAGAUAGCUGCAGUGAAUUUAGAUGUCCCAGGUCCAGGGUCAGUGUGUUAUGCUAUUCUGUUAACUGGGACACGUUAGUUACAGCUGUCCCUUUCAUUUUGUAUCAAGU